CGCACCUUGCACUCUUUGGUAUUCCGAAGAGUAUGCCUGUUUGAGUGUCAUUAAAUUCUCAAACCACUCUUGUAAUGAGAGUGGCUUUGGAUGUGGGGGUUGCUGGUUUUCACGAAUCAGCUCUCCUUAAAAGCAUUAGUGGCUACUGUUCUCCACUUUAACAGUGUGAUAAUUAUCUACGCUGUGGGGAGAUGUCGAGUGUAGUUGCUCUCAAACCGUCCAUUCUUAUGGACAACUUGAACCCUUUGACCUCAAAUCAGGUAGGACUACCCGCUGAACUUAA
rnacentral:misc_RNA from 1 species